UACAGAGGGUGCAAGCGUUGCUCGGAAUUAUUGGGCGUAAAGGGUGCGUAGGCGGUUAAUUAAGUCAGUGGUGAAAUCCUGGAGCUCAACUUCAGAACUGCCAUUGAUACUGGUUGACUUGAGUACAGACGAGGUUGGCGGAAUUGAUGGUGUAGCGGUGAAAUGCAUAGAUACCAUCAAGAACACCGAUUGCGAAGGCAGCUAACUAGGCUGUAACUGACGCUGAGGCACGAAAGUGUGGGGAUCAAACAGG
rnacentral:rRNA from 1 species